rnacentral:rRNA from 1 species
UUGAAGUUCAGGUAACACUGAAUGGAGGACCGAACCGACUUACGUUGAAAAGUGAGCGGAUGAACUGAGGGUAGCGGAGAAAUUCCAAUCGAACCUGGAGAUAGCUGGUUCUCUCCGAAAUAGCUUUAGGGCUAGCCUCAAGUGAUGAUUAUUGGAGGUAGAGCACUGUUUGGACGAGGGGCCCCUCUCGGGUUACCGAAUUCAGACAAACUCCGAAUGCCAAUUAAUUUAACUUGGGAGUCAGAACAUGGGUGAUAAGGUCCGUGUUCGAAAGGGAAACAGCCCAGACCACCAGCUAAGGUCCCAAAAUAUAUGUUAAGUGGAAAAGGAUGUGGCGUUGCCCAGACAACUAGGAUGUUGGCUUAGAAGCAGCCAUCAUUUAAAGAGUGCGUAAUAGCUCACUAGUCGAGUGACACUGCGCCGAAAAUGUACCGGGGCUAAACAUAUUACCGAAGCUGUGGAUUGUCCUUUGGACAAUGGUAGGAGAGCGUUCUAAGGGCGUUGAAGCAUGAUCGUAAGGACAUGUGGAGCGCUUAGAAGUGAGAAUGCCGGUGUGAGUAGCGAAAGACGGGUGAGAAUCCCGUCCACCGAUUGACUAAGGUUUCCAGAGGAAGGCUCGUCCGCUCUGGGUUAGUCGGGUCCUAAGCUGAGGCCGACAGGCGUAGGCGAUGGAUAACAGGUUGAUAUUCCUGUACCACCUAUAAUCGUUUUAAUCGAUGGGGGGACGCAGUAGGAUAGGCGAAGCGUGCGAUUGGAUUGCACGUCUAAGCAGUAAGGCUGAGUAUUAGGCAAAUCCGGUACUCGUUAAGGCUGAG